CCUACGGGAGGCAGCAGUGAGGAAUAUUGGUCAAUGGACGAGAGUCUGAACCAGCCAAGUAGCGUGAAGGAUGACUGCCCUAUGGGUUGUAAACUUCUUUUAUAUGGGAAUAAAAUGUUCCACGUGUGGGAUUUUGUAUGUACCAUAUGAAUAAGGAUCGGCUAACUCCGUGCCAGCAGCCGCGGUAAUACGGAGGAUCCGAGCGUUAUCCGGAUUUAUUGGGUUUAAAGGGAGCGUAGGUGGAUUGUUAAGUCAGUUGUGAAAGUUUGCGGCUCAACCGUAAAAGUGCCGUUGAAACUGGCAGUCUUGAGUACAGUAGAGGUGGGCGGAAUUCGUGGUGUAGCGGUGAAAUGCUUAGAUAUCACGAAGAACUCCGAUUGCGAAGGCAGUUCACUGGACUGCAACUGACACUGAGGCUCGAAAGUGUGGGUAUCAAACAGGAUUAGAUACCCGAGUAGUC
rnacentral:rRNA from 1 species